rnacentral:rRNA from 1 species
UACGGAGGGUGCGAACGUUAAUCGGAAUCACUGGGCGUAAAGCGCGCGUAGGCGGUUUGCUAAGUGGGAUGUGAAAUCCCCGGGCUUAAACCUGGGAAUUGCAUUUCAAACUGGCCGACUAGAGUACGGUAGAGGGAGGUAGAAUUUCCGUGUGUAGCGGUGAAAUGCGUAGAUAUAGGAAGGAAUACCAGUGGCGAAGGCGGCCUCCUGGAUCGAUACUGACGCUGAGGCGCGGAAAG